rnacentral:rRNA from 1 species
CACCGCGGUUAUACGAGGGACCCAAGUUGACAGAAACCGGCGUAAAGAGUGGUUAAUAUAAUAUAAACUAAAGCAAUACACCCUCAAAGCUGUUAUAAGCUCCCGAGGGCAGGAGUAGCUUUCACGAAAGUGGCUUUAAUCAAUAUGAAUCCACGAGAACUAGGGAA